CAGCCGCCACGGUAAAACGUAGGUGGCAAGCGUUGUCCGGAAUUAUUGGGCGUAAAGGGCUCGCAGGCGGUUUCUUAAGUCUGAUGUGAAAGCCCCCGGCUCAACCGGGGAGGGUCAUUGGAAACUGGGAAACUUGAGUGCAGAAGAGGAGAGUGGAAUUCCACGUGUAGCGGUGAAAUGCGUAGAGAUGUGGAGGAACACCAGUGGCGAAGGCGACUCUCUGGUCUGUAACUGACGCUGAGGAGCGAAAGCGUGGGGAGCGAACAGGAUUAGAUACCCGUGUAGUCCCUGUCUCUUAUAC
rnacentral:rRNA from 1 species